UGGGGAAUUUUGGACAAUGGGCGCAAGCCUGAUCCAGCAAUGCCGCGUGCAGGAUGAAGGCCUUCGGGUUGUAAACUGCUUUUGUACGGAACGAAAAGCUCUGGGUUAAUACCCUGGGGUCAUGACGGUACCGUAAGAAUAAGCACCGGCUAACUACGUGCCAGCAGCCGCGGUAAUACGUAGGGUGCGAGCGUUAAUCGGAAUUACUGGGCGUAAAGCGUGCGCAGGCGGUUUUGUAAGACAGAGGUGAAAUCCCCGGGCUCAACCUGGGAACUGCCUUUGUGACUGCAAGGCUAGAGUACGGCAGAGGGGGAUGGAAUUCCGCGUGUAGCAGUGAAAUGCGUAGAUAUGCGGAGGAACACCGAUGGCGAAGGCAAUCCCCUGGGCCUGUACUGACGCUCAUGCACGAAAGCGUGGGGAGCAAACAGG
rnacentral:rRNA from 1 species